AGAUUGAACUGAAGAGUUUGAUCAUGGCUCAGAUUGAACGCUGGCGGCAGGCUUAACACAUGCAAGU
rnacentral:rRNA from 1 species